rnacentral:rRNA from 1 species
CGAGCACGCGCGUGUGGCAUAUCAAUAAGCGGAGGAAAAGAAACUAACAAGGAUUCCCCUAGUAACGGCGAGUGAAGCGGGAAGAGCUCAAAUUUGAAAUCUUCAAGGUUUUACCUUGACGAAUUGUAGUUUAAAGAAGUGUUUUCGGUUAGAGGAGUGGUAAAAGUUCUUUGGAAUAGGACAUCAUAGAGGGUGAGAAUCCCGUAUUUGACCAUUCUUUCUAGCUUUGUGAUACACUUUCAAAGAGUCGGAUUGUUUGGGAAUGCAGUCCAAAAUGGGUGGUAAAUUUCAUCUAAAGCUAAAUAUUGGCGAGAGACCGAUAGCGAACAAGUACCGUGAGGGAAAGAUGAAAAGAACUUUGAAAAGAGAGUUAAACAGUACGUGAAAUUGUCAAAAGGGAAGCGUUUGACACCAGUGUUGUUUUUCCGAAAAUCAAUUACGAAUGUUUUGUUUUUGAGGAGUUAUGACUUCAUCGGCUUGCUUCUUUCUUUACGAAACUUUCUUAAUGCACUUUUCGGUUAACAAGUCAACAGUCAAUUUCUUUUGUUGUAAAAGGGUAUGAGGAAGGUGGCUUUCUUUUCGGAGAAAGUGUUUAUAGCCUUGUGCCUCUACAAUCGGAGAGAUUGAGGUCUGCAGCGUAGAUCCUUCGGGGUUAGAUACGUUUGUGCUAAGUUAUAGCUUUUCAUAGACAACUUGUUGACUAUGUUUAGUCUUGUAGCUUACUCGCUUACUGCUAUUUUACCUACGCUUAGGAUGUUGAACUCUAUCACACACAG